GACGAACGCUGGCGGCGUGCCUAAUACAUGCAAGUCGAGCGAGCUUGCCUAGAUGAUUUUAGUGCUUGCACUAAAUGAAACUAGAUACAAGCGAGCGGCGGACGGGUGAGUAACACGUGGGUAACCUGCCCAAGAGACUGGGAUAACACCUGGAAACAGAUGCUAAUACCGGAUAACAACACUAGACGCAUGUCUAGAGUUUGAAAGAUGGUUCUGCUAUCACUCUUGGAUGGACCUGCGGUGCAUUAGCUAGUUGGUAAGGUAACGGCUUACCAAGGCAAUGAUGCAUAGCCGAGUUGAGAGACUGAUCGGCCACAUUGGGACUGAGACACGGCCCAAACUCCUACGGGAGGCAGCAGUAGGGAAUCUUCCACAAUGGACGAAAGUCUGAUGGAGCAACGCCGCGUGAGUGAAGAAGGGUUUCGGCUCGUAAAGCUCUGUUGGUAGUGAAGAAAGAUAGAGGUAGUAACUGGCCUUUAUUUGACGGUAAUUACUUAGAAAGUCACGGCUAACUACGUGCCAGCGGCCGCGGUAAUACGUAGGUGGCAAGCGUUGUCCGGAUUUAUUGGGCGUAAAGCGAGUGCAGGCGGUUCAAUAAGUCUGAUGUGAAAGCCUUCGGCUCAACCGGAGAAUUGCAUCAGAAACUGUUGAACUUGAGUGCAGAAGAGGAGAGUGGAACUCCAUGUGUAGCGGUGGAAUGCGUAGAUAUAUGGAAGAACACCAGUGGCGAANGCGGCUCUCUGGUCUGCAACUGACGCUGAGGCUCGAAAGCAUGGGUAGCGAACAGG
rnacentral:rRNA from 1 species